rnacentral:rRNA from 1 species
AAGUCGAGCGGCAAGGGUAGCAAUACCCCNUAGAGCGGCGGACUGGUGAGUAACGCGUGGGUGACUUACCCUUAGGUUGGGGGAUAGCCAUUAGAAAUAGUGGGUAAUACCGAAUAUGGUUGUUUUGCUAUGGCGAGACAAAGAAAGGAGCCUUGGCUCCGCCUGAGGAUGGGCCCGCGUCCCAUUAGGUAGUUGGUGAGGUAAAGGCCCACCAAGCCCGAGAUGGGUAGCCGGCCUGAGAGGGUGAACGGCCACACUGGGACUGAGAUACGGCCCAGACUCCUACGGGAGGCAGCAGCUAAGAAUAUUCCGCAAUGGACGAAAGUCUGACGGAGCGACGCCGCGUGUAUGAAGAAGGCCGAAAGGUUGUAAAGUACUUUUCUUGCUGAAGAAUAAGCGUGGGAGGGAAUGCCCGCGUGAUGACGGUAAGCAAGGAAUAAGCCCCGGCUAAUUACGUGCCAGCAGCCGCGGUAACACGUAAGGGGCGAGCGUUGUUCGGAAUUAUUGGGCGUAAAGGGCGCGUAGGCGGUUACGUAAGUCUGGCGUGAAAGGCAGGGGCUUAACUCCUGGACUGCGCUGGAAACUGCAUAACUUGAGUCAUGGAGGGGGAGUUGGAAUUCCUGGUGUAGGGGUGAAAUCUGUAGAUAUCAGGAAGAACACCGGUGGCGAAGGCGAACUUCUAGCCAAUGACUGACGCUGAGGCGCGAAAG